GACGAACGUUGGCGGCGUGCUUAACACAUGCAAGUCGAACGGAAAGGCCCUGCUUUUGUGGGGUGCUCGAGUGGCGAACGGGUGAGUAACACGUGAGUAACCUGCCCUUGACUUUGGGAUAACUUCAGGAAACUGGGGCUAAUACCGGAUAGGAGCUCCUGCUGCAUGGUGGGGGUUGGAAAGUUUCGGCGGUUGGGGAUGGACUCGCGGCUUAUCAGCUUGUUGGUGGGGUAGUGGCUUACCAAGGCUUUGACGGGUAGCCGGCCUGAGAGGGUGACCGGCCACAUUGGGACUGAGAUACGGCCCAGACUCCUACGGGAGGCAGCAGUGGGGAAUAUUGCACAAUGGGCGGAAGCCUGAUGCAGCAACGCCGCGUGCGGGAUGACGGCCUUCGGGUUGUAAACCGCUUUCGCCUGUGACGAAGCGUGAGUGACGGUAAUGGGUAAAGAAGCACCGGCUAACUACGUGCCAGCAGCCGCGGUGAUACGUAGGGUGCGAGCGUUGUCCGGAUUUAUUGGGCGUAAAGGGCUCGUAGGUGGUUGAUCGCGUCGGAAGUGUAAUCUUGGGGCUUAACCCUGAGCGUGCUUUCGAUACGGGUUGACUUGAGGAAGGUAGGGGAGAAUGGAAUUCCUGGUGGAGCGGUGGAAUGCGCAGAUAUCAGGAGGAACACCAGUGGCGAAGGCGGUUCUCUGGGCCUUUCCUGACGCUGAGGAGCGAAAGCGUGGGGAGCGAACAGGCUUAGAUACCCUGGUAGUCCACGCUGUAAACGGUGGGUACUAGGUGUGGGGUCCAUUCCACGGGUUCCGUGCCGUAGCUAACGCUUUAAGUACCCCGCCUGGGGAGUACGGCCGCAAGGUUAAAACUCAAAGGAAUUGACGGGGCCCCGCACAAGCGGCGGAGCAUGCGGAUUAAUUCGAUGCAACGCGUAGAACCUUACCUGGGUUUGACAUGGAUCGGGAGUGCUCAGAGAUGGGUGUGCCUCUUUUGGGGUCGGUUCACAGGUGGUGCAUGCCUGUCGUCAGCUCGUGUCGUGAGAUGUUGGGUUAAGUCCCGCAACGAGCGCAACCCUUGUUCACUGUUGCCAGCACGUUAUGGUGGGGACUCAGUGGAGACCGCCGGGGUCAACUCGGAGGAAGGUGGGGAUGACGUCAAGUCAUCAUGCCCCUUAUGUCCAGGGCUUCACGCAUGCUACAAUGGCUGGUACAGAGAGUGGCGAGCCUGUGAGGGUGAGCGAAUCUCGGAAAGCCGGUCUCAGUUCGGAUUGGGGUCUGCAACUCGACCUCAUGAAGUCGGAGUCGCUAGUAAUCGCAGAUCAGCAACGCUGCGGUGAAUACGUUCCCGGGGCU
rnacentral:rRNA from 1 species